rnacentral:snoRNA from 1 species
GGGUCGAUGAUGAGAACCUUAUAUGUCCUGAAGAGAGGUGACGACUUAAAAAUCAUGCUCAAUGUAAUCCCAGCACUUUGGGAGGCCG